ensembl:lincRNA
AAGACAUCAAGGGCUUCCUGGCAGAAGAACUGACAGGGAUGUGUGCAGAAGAUCCUUGUAUACACAUCACAGGCAAGUCCCUGUGCUCUGAGACAACGCAGGGAUGACAGAUGUCAAGAACAAAUGUUAAAGGCCUCCAGCUUGACAACUUUCUGCUGUGAACUCUGGAUAACUUCCUCCGAGCUAAAGAGGCCCCACAUUUUCAUUUGCCACCUGCCCCCCUCAGUCCAUACUCGAUACAAAAAAUGUAAGAGGCAGGUGCUUUGUCCAGCUGGGAAGUCAAAAUCAUCCUUAAAGUCUCCACAACACUGGCAUCAUUUUUCUGCAUUUCUGUUGUUUUGCAGAAUUGGCUUUUUCAAAGAAUCCUGCAUUUUUCUAUAAGGACUUUCUGUGGUG